GAUGAAUGCUGGCGGCGUGCCUAACACAUGCAAGUCGAGCGGUAACAGGAGUAGUUUACUACUUGCUGACGAGCGGCGGACGGCUGAGUAACGCGUGGGAACAUGCCCAAAGUGAGGGAUAAGCUCCAGAAAUGGAGUCUAAUACCGCAUAUGAUCUUCGGAUUAAAGGAUUUAUCCGCUUUGGGAGUGGCCUGCGUACGAUUAGAUAGUUGGUGAGGUAAUGGCUCACCAAGUCGACGAUCGUUAACUGGUCUGAGAGGAUGAUCAGUCAGACUGGAACUGAGACACGGUCCAGACUCCUACGGGAGGCAGCAGUGAGGAAUCUUCCACAAUGGGGGCAACCCUGAUGGAGCAACGCCGCGUGCAGGAUGAAGGCCUUCGGGUCGUAAACUGCUUUUAUAAGUGAAGAAUAUGACGGUAACUUAUGAAUAAGCACCGGCUAACUACGUGCCAGCCGCCGCCGUA
rnacentral:rRNA from 1 species